AAACUCUGCAAUAGGCGAAAGCCUGACAGGGUUACUCUGAGUGAUGCCCGCUAAGGGCAUCUUUUGGUACCUCUAAAAAUGGUGCAGAAUAAGGGGUGGGCAAGUCUGGUGUCAGCCGCCGCGGUAAUACCAGCACCCCGAGUGGUCGGGACGAUUAUUGGGCCUAAAGCAUCCGUAGCUUGUCCUGCAAGUCCUCCGUUAAAUCCACCUGCUCAACAGAUGGGCUGCGGAGGAUACUACAGGGCUAGGAGGCGGGAGAGGCAAGCGGUACUCAGUGGGUAGGGGUAAAAUCCUCUGAUCCACUGAAGACCACCAGUGGCGAAGGCGGCUUGCCAGAACGCGCUCGACGGUGAGGGAUGAAAGCUGGGGGAGCAAACCGGAUUAGAUACCCGGGUAGUCCCAGCUGUAAACGAUGCAGACUCGGUGAUGGGUUGGCUUCGGGCCAACCCAGUGCCGCAGGGAAGCCGUUAAGUCUGCCGCCUGGGGAGUACGGUCGCAAGACUGAAACUUAA
rnacentral:rRNA from 1 species